GACGAACGCUGGCGGCGUGCUUAACACAUGCAAGUCGAACGAAGAGCGACGGAAGCUUGCUUCUAUCAAUCUUAGUGGCGAACGGGUGAGUAACGCGCAAUCAACCUGCCCUUCAGAGGGGGACAACAGUUGGAAACGACUGCUAAUACCGCAUACGAUCUAACCUCGGCAUCGAGGAUAGAUGAAAGGUGGCCUCUACAUGUAAGCUAUCACUGAAGGAGGGGAUUGCGUCUGAUUAGCUAGUUGGAGGGGUAACGGCCCACCAAGGCGAUGAUCAGUAGCCGGUCUGAGAGGAUGAACGGCCACAUUGGGACUGAGACACGGCCCAGACUCCUACGGGAGGCAGCAGUGGGGAAUCUUCCGCAAUGGACGAAAGUCUGACGGAGCAACGCCGCGUGAGUGAUGACGGCCUUCGGGUUGUAAAGCUCUGUUAAUCGGGACGAAAGGCCUUCUUGCGAAUAGUGAGAAGGAUUGACGGUACCGGAAUAGAAAGCCACGGCUAACUACGUG
rnacentral:rRNA from 1 species